UACGUAGGGGGCGAGCGUUGUCCGGAUUUAUUGGGCGUAAAGAGCGUGUAGGCGGCCAGGUAGGUCUGCUGUGAAAACUCGAGGCUCAACCUCGAGACGUCGGCGGAAACCAUCUGGCUAGAGUCCGGAAGAGGAGAGUGGAAUUCCUGGUGUAGCGGUGAAAUUCGUAGAUAUUCGGAAGAACACCAGUGGCGAAGGCGGCUCACUGGACCGGUAUUGACGCUGAGGUGCGAAAGCGUGGGGAGCAAACAGG
rnacentral:rRNA from 1 species